GACGAACGCUGGCGGCGUGCUUAACACAUGCAAGUCGAACGAAGUGGCGAACGGGUGAGUAAUACGUGGGUAACCUGCCCUCCUUUUUGGGAUAAGCCUUGGAAACGGGGUCUAAUACCGAAUAAAGGGGGAUGGGCUCGCGGCCUAUCAGCUUGUUGGUGGGGUGAUGGCCUACCAAGGCGGUGACGGCUAGCCGGCCUGAGAGGGUGACCGGCCAAAUUGGGGGUGGGAGACGGCCCAGUCUCCUACGGGAGGAAGCAGUGGGGGAUAUUGGGCAAUGGGCGCAAGCCUGACCCAGCAACGCCGCGUGAAGGAAGACGGUCUUCGGAAUGUAAACUGCUUUGUACAGCGGUACCUGUAGAAUAAGCCACGGCUAACUACGUGCCAGCAGCCGCGGUAAUAC
rnacentral:rRNA from 1 species